UUUGGUCACUCAUCGUGAAGAGAAUCUGGCAGUCUUGGAUUAAAGAUGGACGAUUUGUUUUGAAGGAAAGAAGCAGCAGCAGCAAAGAUGCCACUGCGAAUACUGUGGCCAGUCAUUUGUAAAUUUGACUGCUUGUUGGCGUUUGCUUGACGGCAUUUCAAUGGUAAGCCCAUGGCACAUAGGCGAAACCAUAUACCUCGGGACAGAUAUCACAGGGAGUACGAUUCACACAGCAGCGACUCAGAUUAUUCAGAAACCGAUGAACGCAAGAAGACUUGCAUAAAGAAAUCAAGCUCCCUCGGUCCUCCUCGCUCCAAGCCGUGCCUGGUCAACCGCACCCGCUCACAAAGUUUGGACAACACCAGCAGUAACGAAGACUGCCCGUCGUGCGAAGUACGUGCCAGCACCAGCAUGUACUCCAGAACCCGUCCGCACAAUCUAGAUUUACCGCAGCACUUGCUUCAACAGAACGGGCCAGACUAUCCCAUGGAUGGGGCCGCAGCGAUGCAAGCCUCACCGAAGCUGAACUGUAGCAGCCCACGGCCCGUGGAGCGCCUGACCUUGGUGGUGGAUGAGACGAGGUUUGUCGUGGAUCCAGAACUGUUCCGGCAGCGGCCAGAGACAAUGUUGGGAAGAAUGUUCACAACGUCUUUGGAAAACAAUUUUACUCGACCCAAUGAAAGAGGAGAGUUUGAGGUUGCUGAUGGCAUCACAGCCACUGUUUUCCGUGCCAUUUUGGAUUACUACAAGACCGGUGUGGUCCGGUGCCCUCCCUCCGUGCCGGUCCAUGAGCUGAGAGAAGCUUGCGACUACCUCCUUGUGCCCUUUGAUGCCUCCACCGUGAGGUGCCAGAAUCUCCGUGGGUUGCUGCACGAGCUGUCCAACGAAGGCGCUCGCAAACAGUUCCUGGAGUACCUCGAAGACUUGUUGUUGCCUCAGAUGGUCCUCUGUGCUCAGCGAGGUGACCGGGAGUGCCAUAUCGUGGUGCUCACGGAUGAUGAUAUUAUUGACUGGGAUGAGGACUACCCACCACAGAUGGGGGAGGAGUAUUCACAGAUUGUGAACAGUACCUGUCUGUACAGGUUCUUCCGCUACAUUGAGAACCGCGACGUUGCCAAGCAAGUUCUGAAGGAAAGGGGCCUGAAGAAGAUCCGUCUGGGAAUAGAAGGGUACCCGACGUACAAGGAGAAAGUGAAGAAACGGCCUGGCGGUAGAGCUGAAGUGAUCUACAACUACGUCCAGAGGCCUUUCAUCCGCAUGUCCUGGGAGAAGGAAGAGAACAAGAGCAGGCAUGUGGACUUUCAGUGCGUCAAGUCGAAAUCCAUAACGAAUCUGGCUGCUGCCGCUGACGAAGCCUCUUUCCACCAUCACGACCAAGGCAUUUUGCAACAGGCCCAGGAUGGAACCAUCAACGUGAUCCCCCCACAGCCUUCACCCUCGGAGCCUUAUCCCGAUGUCCAACUUCCUCCGGAGGCUCUCGACUAGGCGCACGCCUAGUUGAGGCCGUGUAUUUCCCCGAUGUGUGGGCCUCAGUUCUUGCAAAGAUUUGUUUUGAAGGCUGGGUUUUAUUUUUUUGUUUGUGAGAGCGAGAGAGGAAGUUUUGGGUGGUCACAGAGGCAUGGAAUAGGGCAUACCGUAUGUGUGAGAGGUUCUGCUGGAAUGGAAUAAGGUAUAUAUGUGUGAGAGGUUCUGCUGGAAUGGAAUAAGGUAUAUAUAUAUGUGUGAGAGGUUCUUCUUGAAUGGAAUAAGGUAUAUAUGUGUGAGAGGUUCUUCUUGAAUGGAAUAAGGUAUAUAUGUGUGAGAGGUUCUUCUUGAAUGGAAUAAGGUAUAUAUGUGUGAGAGGUUCUGCUGGAAUGGAAUAAGGUAUAUAUGUGUGAGAGGUUCUGCUUGAAUGGAAUAAGGUAUAUAUAUAUGUGUGUGAGAGAUGGUGCUUGAAUAGAGUAGGGCGUUUGUGGAAGAGGUGCUGCGUGAAUGAUAGGUGAACUGUUGAUGAGGGGAUGGUCAGGGUAUUUGUUGCCUGACGGUAGAUGUUUUCUGUGUGCUGAGUAUUGAACGGUUGUGCGUUAAAAAGUCUGUAGUUUGCUAAUGAGUGCACUCACACUCACUGAGAGUGUUGAGCUGGGAGAUGUUUUCUGUGUGCCUAGUGGUGAACGGCCGUGUGUUACAAGGUCUUUAGUGUGCUAAUGAGUACACACACCCGCUGACAGUGGUGAGGAGGAAGAUAUUUUCAGUGUGCUGAGUUGUGAGCAGUCGUGUGUGAAAAGGAGGUCUGUAGUAGUAGUAUGCUAAUGAGUACACACACACACAGGCUGGUAGUGUUGGGCAUGAAGUAAGUCAGUCUGGGAACACACAUUUUGCCAGAGAUAUAGUGAAGAAAACCUUGUCUGACUCUGAUGUCCAAAGCCUUAUAGAGUUUGGGAGUUAGUUGAGCAAAUCGUUUGUUACAGUUGUUGGAUCAGAUCGUGUUGAAUCGUGUAGGAAAAUAUUUGUGCGUGUGCCUGCGACUGGGUUACUUCUCGUCAACAAGGUCGCUGUGUCCGUGCAGACGUCUCACCUCAGGCAAACCUGCUGCAUUUGCAAUUUUUGUCAAACGAUGAUGUAUUGUGUCCUUUUUUUUUUCUUUUUUGAAAUUGUUGUUGAGCAAAUAAAUCAAUGUGUGAGUUGAGAGAAGCGACUGUGA
rnacentral:misc_RNA from 1 species